rnacentral:lncRNA from 1 species
UAACAUUUCAAAUUAAAAUAAAACAAACAUUAAAAAUAAAAACAUUGUCUUAUCCCCUCAAAUCUGAAACCCUAGUUCUCCCUUUUUCUUUCAUGAUUUGAUUCAGAUUUUAAGCUAAAUUGAAACAAUGCACGAUUCUAUUCGACAGAAACCCCACCACCACGCUUGCCGUGAACCACUUUCCCGGCGCCGGCGCCGGCGCUCGUAGUGUUGCUCCUUCACCGUCCCACCCCAUCUUUGGUUCUUAAAUUUUGUGGGUUUGGGUUGGUGAAUCGAUCGAGGGCAUCAUUAUUUUUUUAACAGUCCAACUCUGCGUAAGAAAUUGAAUCUGAUUUGUGAUGUCUUAGAGAGAGAAAAGAAAAAACAUCUAAAAAUACCCGUUUUGAUUCUGGUUGAUUUUAUAUUGAUUUAGUCUAGUUCUAUCUAGAAAAACAAGAGUUCUAUUCCCUCCACACUUGAUGAGUUUUGGGGGUUUCUUUGGCAGUAGCAGUGGUGGGGAUGCCAGAUUGUUGGUUGAUAGGUCCAUACACCAACAACAUGCCCAUUGCUGCCAUUGCUCACCAUCAACUGCGUACUCCACCUAUAGCUAACCCAGUGUUCAACUCUCCAUCCCUCUCUCUUCCUAUCGUACGAGAGUCUCCUUCUCCCUCUCUCUCUCUAUAUGUAUAUAUACGUAUCCAUCUUCAAAUUCUCUUUCAGGCAUAUUACCAAACACCUUGAACUCACUCACCAGCCUGAGUCGACUCGACCUCAGCUUCAACAAAUUCACCGGGUCAAUCCCCAAAUUACCGCCGAACCUUGUACAGCUAGCCAUAAAGAACAAUUAUUUAUCUGGGUUUCUCUUACAAUCGUUAUUUUCAGAGUCAACUCCGCUAGCCACGGUCGAAC